rnacentral:rRNA from 1 species
AUGCUUUACACAUGCAAGUCGAGCGGCAGCGCGGGGGCAACCCUGGCGGCGAGCGGCGAACGGGUGAGUAAUACAUCGGAACGUGUCCCGUAGUGGGGGAUAACCCGGCGAAAGCCGGACUAAUACCGCAUAUGCUCUACGGAGGAAAGUGGGGGACCCGCAAGGGCCUCAUGCUAUGGGAGCGGCCGAUGUCCGAUUAGCUUGUUGGUGAGGUAACGGCUCACCAAGGCGACGAUCGGUAGCUGGUCUGAGAGGAUGAUCAGCCACACUGGGACUGAGACACGGCCCAG